AGAGUUUGAUCCUGGCUCAGGACGAACGCUGGCGGCGUGCCUAACACAUGCAAGUCGAGCGAGGAAUGACUGGUAGCUUGCUACCGGUUAUUUCUAGCGGCGGACGGGUGAGUAACGCGUGAGCAACCUGCCUUUAUCAGGGGGAUAACGCAUCGAAAGAUGUGCUAAUACCGCGUAAGACCACAGCCUCACAUGGGGCAGGGGUCAAAGGAGCAAUCCGGAUAAAGAUGGGCUCGCGUCCGAUUAGCUAGUUGGUGAGAUAACAGCCCACCAAGGCGACGAUCGGUAGCCGACCUGAGAGGGUGAUCGGCCACAUUGGAACUGAAAGACGGUCCAGACUCCUACGGGAGGCAGCAGUGGGGAAUAUUGGGCAAUGGGCGAAAGCCUGACCCAGCAACGCCGCGUGAGGGAAGAAGGGUUUCGGCUCGUAAACCUCUGUCCUAUGGGACGAAGGAAGUGACGGUACCAUAGGAGGAAGCCCCGGCUAACUACGUGCCAGCAGCCGCGGUAAUACGUAGGGGGCGAGCGUUGUCCGGAAUGAUUGGGCGUAAAGGGCGCGUAGGCGGCCUGCUAAGUCUGAAGUGAAAGUCCUGCUUUCAAGGUGGGAAGUGCUUUGGAUACUGGUGGGCUGGAGUGCAGGAGAGGAAAGCGGAAUUACCGGUGUAGCGGUGAAAUGCGUAGAGAUCGGUAGGAACACCAGUGGCGAAGGCGGCUUUCUGGACUGAAACUGACGCUGAGGCGCGAAAGCGUGGGGAGCAAACAGGAUUAGAUACCCUGGUAGUCCACGCGGUAAACGAUGAAUGCUAGGUGUAGGAGGUAUCGACCCCUUCUGUGCCGCAGUAAACACAAUAAGCAUUCCG
rnacentral:rRNA from 1 species